rnacentral:rRNA from 1 species
CACACCGCCCGUCACACCAUGGAAGUUGGCUGCACCAGAAGCCGGUUGUCCAACCGCAAGGAGGACGCCGACCACGGUGUGGUCAAUGACUGGGGUG